UCUGUACGGAAUACUUGGAGAACUCAAACAAGGUCCUGGCAGGGUCCAUCCGCAUGGACACUGAGCCAGCGACCCUCCAUGAUGAGAGGGAUCAAAUGUUAUUACUGUGAAGUUCUGCACAGACUCACACUCUGCUGGGAAACAGCUUCAUCUCUGGUUUCUUUCACGUGCAGUAACAAUGUGGAGAAGAGCAUAAAAUACAGAAUCCUAAGAAAAAGGCUUAAAAGCAAGUAACAGUCGUCCUCCUACAUGAAGUAGGUAGCUGAAGGUGCUGACUCUUAGUGAGUCAGCACAUGCUUUCACAUUAAGGAUGAGGCAGAGGAUAACCAGACAGCAGGCCUUGAAGCAAACAGCCAUCUGCCCAGCUAGUCUCCUUUAAGAACUGCUGAACUGUGAGUCUACGAUCCCAACACUGGCAUGCUCUCCGACACACCCUGCCAAGCUUCUGAUCAACACUGACUCGGGGAUUUUUUUUUUCUUCUCCAAAUCUACCCUUUGUAAUCCAACUCUUUCCUUAAUAUUAUCCUAAAGGAAAUAAAGAGAACCUAAAAGAUC